GAGACUCUGUGCGCGUGCAUAUCAAUAAGCGGAGGAAAAGAAACUAACUAGGAUUCCCUUAGUAACGGCGAGUGAAGCGGGAAGAGCUCAAAUUUGAAAUCUUCAAGGUUCUACCUUGACGAAUUGUAGUUUAUAGAAGUGUUUUCUGUUAGUAGAGUGGCAAAAGUUCUUUGGAAUAGGACAUCAUAGAGGGUGAGAAUCCCGUAUUUGAUCAUUCUUUCUAAGCUUUGUGAUACACUUUCAACGAGUCGGAUUGUUUGGGAAUGCAGUCCAAAAUGGGUGGUAAAUUUCAUCUAAAGCUAAAUAUUGGCGAGAGACCGAUAGCGAACAAGUACCGUGAGGGAAAGAUGAAAAGAACUUUGAAAAGAGAGUUAAACAGUACGUGAAAUUGUCAAAAGGGAAGCGUUUGACACCAGUGUUGUUUUUCCGAAAAUCAAUUACGAAUGUUUUGUUUUUAAGAAGUUAUGACUUCAUCGGCUUGCUUCUUUCUUUACGAAACUUUCUUAAUGCACUUUUCGGUUAACAAGUCAACAUCAAUUUCUUUUGUUGUAAAAGGGUACGAGGAAGGUGGCUUUCUUUUCGGAGAAAGUGUUUAUAGCCUUGUACCUCUGCAAUCGGAGAGAUUGAGGUCUGCAGCGUAGAUCCUUCGGGGUUAGAUACAUUUGUGCUAAGUUAUAGCCUUUCAUAGACAACUUGUUGACUAAGUUAAGUCUUGUAGCUUACUCGCUUAUGCUAUUUUACCUACGCUUAGGAUGUUGAAGAUGUAGCACAUCAU
rnacentral:rRNA from 1 species